GGUUUUGUAGUGUAGCGGUUAUCACAGUGGAUUUUGAUUCACAAACAUUCCAUUAACCCCGGUUCGAAUCCGGGCAAGACCU
rfam:Wallemia sebi CBS 633.66 unplaced genomic scaffold WALSEscaffold_43, whole genome shotgun sequence.